rnacentral:rRNA from 1 species
GAUGAACGCUGGCGGCGUGCCUAAUACAUGCCAGUCGAGCGAACAGACGAGGAGCUUGCUCCUCUGACGUUAGCGGCGGACGGGUGAGUAACACGUGGAAAACCUACCUAUAAGACUGGGAUAACUUCGGGAAACCGGAGCUAAUACCGGAUAAUAUAUUGAACCGCAUGGUUCAAUAGUGAAAGACGGUUUUGCUGUCACUUAUAGAUGGAUCCGCGCCGCAUUAGCUAGUUGGUAAGGUAACGGCUUACCAAGGCAACGAUGCGUAGCCGACCUGAGAGGGUGAUCGGCCACACUGGAACUGAGACACGGUCCAGACUCCUACGGGAGGCAGCAGUAGGGAAUCUUCCGCAAUGGGCGAAAGCCUGACGGAGCAACGCCGCGUGAGUGAUGAAGGUCUUCGGAUCGUAAAACUCUGUUAUUAGGGAAGAACAAAUGUGUAAGUAACUAUGCACGUCUUGACGGUACCUAAUCAGAAAGCCACGGCUAACUACGUG